AUGUUCACAUGCUGAUUCCUCAGGAAUGAAAUGAAGGUACUAUAUACCUUGAAAUAUAUUUUGUAGAAACUUGUCAUGUUGAGCAACAUCUUAGCACGGUAAGUAAGUUCCCUUAGCUAUAUAAACUUGUGCAUGUUUCAGAGAGAUCAGUAAAUAAAAUACUACAAAAAAGAAGGAGAAGGAGAAGAAGAAAGGAGGAGAGAAGAAGAAGAAGAAGAAGGAGGAGGAGGAGGAGGAGGAGGAGGAGGAAGAAGAAGAAGAAAGGAGGAGAAGAAGAAAAAGAAAAAGAAGAAUAAGAAGAAGCAGAAGCAGAAGACCUUAUUGUUGUACCCGAGCGAGUCAAAGAAUGCAGCACACUCUGAGAUUGAAUUAUGAGUCCUUUAUUAUGCCAGCGACCGAGAGGUGGCUGACGCACAAAAUUCUCUCGGCCCCUAAGAAAAUGUUAGGUGGUCUUUUAUGCCCUAGUUUUAAAAGGGAGGGGGAACGUAGCUGAAGCAAAUUUUUCACAAAAGCAGAGUAAGCAAAAAGUUAAAAGUUAACCUAGUACAUGAGAAAUAAAACAGUGCCAGGUGCGAGGGGUACAGUUGUCACAAAAGACAUACAACUUACAUAGGUAACGGGGGCUCUGGGCACUGGACAGCAGCUGCCUGCAUUCCCAGGCUCUGUUGGUACCACUUAAGUCGGCCUCUUAUCAACAAAUGCAUUCCUGGGGGUGCCCAGUGUCAGCCCGCCCCAGCUGCUACGUACUCUGGGUCCGUACUGAAUGGUGGGAAAACAACUAAAAUGUAGAAGCUAAGAUGGAGUCUGUCCAGCUCAGGAAGCUAACAUAAAGCCUGAACAGCUUUUAGUCUGAGAAGGAGAGAGUUAGUUUUAACUGGCAAAAAGCAGGUUAUCACACUAUGAAGUACAGUUUACAUUAACCCGCUGUCACCAUACGUCGAGAAAUCCACAAAAGCGCUAGUGAACAACAGGAGAAAAACAGCAGCUAACACGUCCUGGGGAAAAGAUAUGCCUUCCUAGAAUUCCGUGCCAAGGCAUCGCCUCCGGUAAUCUUAAGGGAGCAAAGUAUUACUUUUUAGACAGCGUUUCUAUUUUGGGCAAAUACUACUACGGCCCAGAGUGGCGCCAUGAUGUCCUUCCCGUUUUGCAAAUUUGCUGGUCCAAGGAAGGAGAAAAUAAGACAUCAUGAUA
rnacentral:rRNA from 1 species